AUUAACAAUUCAUACUUUCACAUAUACAAAAGUUCAAGAGUGAACAAAAAUGAAGAGUUACAUUAUGCUUUUCCUCCUCUCUAUGGCAAUAUUUUUCACUUUGUUUGAUCCUGCACUAGGUGAUCCUAAAUUUUGCCCUGGAAGUUUCAAGGCUAAUCAAACAUGUGAUAAAAUUAGUUGUGGCAAUCUAGCUCUAUUCCAGUGGCCAGCAAGUAUGAUGCCUCAUAGUUGUACAUGUGCAGCUGCAGGAAGUAAUCAAAGCCUUUGUACAUGUCAAAUAGUUUGCCAAGCAAAUUAAUGCAAAAGAAAAGGCAGUUAUUGUCAAUGCCAAUUGAUGAGUAAUCAUAUCAAAUAUGUAUUGAAUGAUCGCGAAUAAACACAAAUAAAAGUUCUCUCUAUAAUAUAUUAUUUUUUA